GUGUCAGCAGCCGCGGUAAUACGGAGGGUGCGAGCGUUGUUCGGAUUUAUUGGGCGUAAAGCGCGUGUAGGCGGUUUUAUAAGUCUGAUGUGAAAGCCCCGGGCUCAACCUGGGAAGUGCAUUGGAUACUGUAAGACUUGAAUACGGGAGAGGGCAGUGGAAUUCCGAGUGUAGGAGUGAAAUCCGUAGAUAUUCGGAGGAACACCGGUGGCGAAGGCGGCUGCCUGGACCGAUAUUGACGCUGAGACGCGAAAGCGUGGGUAGCAAACAGGAUUAGAAACCCCUGUAGUCC
rnacentral:rRNA from 1 species